GCCUCUUCGCCACCAUGUGUUUGCUAUAUCUAGAUAUAUAGUAUUAUUUUAUAUGAGAGGAGAAAUCAUUAACCAACUUUGUAUGUUAUAAUCUGCAGGUUGAUAAUAUUGGAACAAAUGAAGCAAGACAAAAUGAAGAAAAUCUAGCCUCGCAGUGCAAGCAUGACACUAUUUUAAUGAGGAAAUUCGAAUAUACUGCAGAUAGUGUGGUUGGAUUGCCACUGAAAUCAAAUAUAUCACACCAUGAUUUGAAAGCACAGUAUGAAUUUGAUGAAGAUUUCUUUACUACAUGGAUGUCUUGGCCAUUUGUAAUGGCCUUACUAGCUAAGACAGCUUUAAUGGCUACGUGGCAGAGCAGGAAGACAGGGGGAUCCGACCUCAAUACGAUUUAUUGUCAGUCAUGGAUAGGGAUUUUGAACACAAACACGAUCAGAGUCUGGUGCACUCAGUGGAGGACAACGGAGUAGAUUAUCUUCUAGAAAGGGAGGGAAGCAACUGGGAUGCGAAUUUAAAAUGAAAAGACAUUCUUUCUCUAAGAGAACAACAAAGAUUGGGGAUGUGCAAUAGUGUUGAUGUUGAAGAACACCUAUACGGGCUUGCAAAAGAUAUAUAUGGGAAUCACAGUUGUUACUUCCUCACAAAUUCGAGUAAUUUCCCCGUGUUAAGAGAAAUCAAGGAAGAAACCUCUGUUAAUUUGGCAUGCAAGGUAAUUAGUCAUGUGUUCAAAGCGAGUUGAUACAAAUUUACUUUUACAUGUUUGGGUAAAAUUGUGAUGAUGUCUGUUACUGGAAAUUUGUCAUAACUAAACAGUGACCCUUUUCAAGUACUCUAUGUAUAUGAUAUGAUAUCUUUUUUUGUACUGGAUUGUGGGCAAUGGAGUUUUGGCAAGUGAUUUAGUGGUAAUGACAUGCCAAGAACUGUAAAGUUAUUGAUUGGAUAAUUUUUUUUAUUGAUAUUAUCAAAAGCAUCACUU